UGAUCUACCCACGGACGCCUAGGUUGAUGAAGCUAGAAAAGUAAGCAAAGAUCAGGCCACGAAGGCCUCAUAAGGAGUUGAGCAUAGUCUGGAAAACCAUGUACAGAGUUGGAGCAGGAGGGUGACACAUGGCUCCGUGUGUGUGAAAGAGCCCUCUGAUUGCAUGGGGAAAUAGGGAACAGGCCUGGGAGCAAGGGUCCAGCUGGAGGAAGGCAGCUGCAGUGAAAGAUGCGUCAAAAUCAGGUGAGCGACAACAGGAUGAAGAAAGUGGGUGAAUUCCAUGGGUGUUUAAAGAACACCAUUGUCAGGAAACGGUGACUCAGGUCUUUGGGGAACAAGAGGAAAGGUCCAGUGUGACCCCCAGUUGAUGAGGCAGCUGGCGGAUGGCAGCACCUUCCAUCAGGGUAGGGGACAGAAAGUGGGUCACAUGAGGGAAGAGGGAGGGAUUAUCUUGAUAGUCAUGGUGCCUGUGACACUUGGUGGCUCCGAUCUGUCUGCAAGCCACUUCCUCCCCUGGAGCCGAGGGAAGGCCCCUGGCUUCUGCACCCCUUCCCCGGGCUGCCCCGCCCCUUCCCCACAACCCCGGAACUUAGCUCAGUGCUGGGAUGUGGUUCGAAUUUAGGUCGUUGGUCUGACCGGUAAACGUGGAGCUGAGCUGGGAUUGGAUGGUCUCUAAGAGCCGGGUCACUCCUGUGACUUGGGGCCGAGCGGGGGACUUGAGGGCCUGACAGGUCAACGUGGAGCGGCGUCUAGAGCAAGCCGGCUGUGGGGAAGAGGUCUCCGUGUCUGGGCUGCGUCUCAAGCCCGAGGCACAGUGCCAGCCAGACCUCGGCCUCCUUGUCCCCAGGCACCUGUGUGUCAUUGCUCCGGGCUCUUGUGUGAAGAGCCCUUUCUCAUGACAAGCAUCACAAAGCCUGAAUGUCACCCUUGUUGCAAAGGAAGCUGAUGUGGACAGAGCGUGUGCUGCCUUCCUCCGCAGGAACAGGGUUUGGCAAUAAACCAAAGACUCACUAUUACAACAUGUCCUCAGGGAAGUAGGUCAUGUGUCCCCAAGAGAGUCACAGAGGCCAAGGAGAGUGAGAAGCUGGGGCUGAGCAGGGCUUUCUUUUUCUCAAAGCUCCAAAGGGUGGGAGCCAGGAGCCAUUUUGUUUUCCUGCCCGUGAUCUGUGUCCUUCCCCAGGGUUGGCCAUCCCCACCACCCCCAUCCGUAUCUUCUUGCUCUCAGGAACAGGAGAAAGAGGGACCUUGUGGAUCCUCGCCAUUGUUCCAGAAAUAUGUUCGCUGCCCUCGCUCUUCUGAGACACAGACAACGGACGGCGUCACCGACUGACCUUCAAAACGCAGGAGUUUGCUGCUUGUAGGGGGGCCUCUGUCAGACUCUGGCUGGAGAGACUGCGCGAGUCCCAGCGUUCUGAGUGAGCCCACCGCGUAAAGCUUUAUGUCUCGCACUUUUUUGUCUUGCCUCCAAGACAUUUCCAUCUUCUCAGUGUUCUGUCCCCAAGAUGGGGCAGUGUUGUUGGUGUGUUAGGAAACAGCCCCUGGACAAAGUGGGGUGCUGUCAAGGACGUGAUCAUUUUUUCCUCUAAGUGAUUCUGUAUUUACAUUAAAGGAUAAAUACAUAA